rnacentral:lncRNA from 1 species
UUCAGCAUCUUGGACUCCUCGGGCGUGAAUACAAUCCAGUCAGUGCCUAAGGGUGAUCCAAUGGCAGGCUCAUUUCCCCUAAGUCUAUCGACAAUCGCCCUGCAUCUCUUUCUAUUACAGGCCAUAAUUUCUGGAGUAAGAACGGGCAAGAAACCAUCGUCUACAAAAAUAGAGGCCAUGUCAUAGGCAGGAAUAGGAAUCACGAGCGCAUAAGAGGCACAUCCAUAAAACAAAAGAAACCUAUUUCAGAAGAGGAUCUCGUACAUUUUAUUUUGGGUAGGCCUAAGGAUAUGUAAGGCGACAACGGGUCAAAGAAAGAUUGUUUCCGCCGAACAAAAGGUGGAUGAUGGCUACUUGAAGCAGCAUUAAGACUAACAGAACGAUGCAGAGGCAUGAUAGUCAGAGGAACGACAUGAAGAAUAACCACAGCACACUGCAACAGAAAUAUAAAACCAUGAAUGAAACAAAGAAGCGAAGUCAAACAGUGGCAGACACAUAGAAGGAAAAAACAAAGAAGAAGCGCGGCAGGAUGCACAUUCCACCUUCUAAAAAUACCUGAUCUAAAACCGAGAAAUAUCUUUUUAUCCACAGAGCUAGUAAAAAGCAUCUGAAAAAACCAAACUGAGAAACAAAACCUAAGAUGUGAAACCUUGGAUUUUGGAAAACCGAUAAAAACAACACUUUAUUUUCUAACAGAAGGAGACACAAUCUAAUCAGGUAGACAAAAUAGCAAGAGGACAUAGAACCAGACCAAAAAGCAAAAUCCAAGAAACAAUAUCCUAUAAAGGGCAUGGAAUUGACAUUUUUGACUACAAUGAAAGGAAGAGGCAACCCAAAAAUACACCUACGGGAAAAGAACAAGAAUCAUUUUUUGACUGCAAUGAAAGAAAGGGGCAUCCCAAAAAUACACCUAAGACAAAAGCACAAGAAUCAUUUUUUGGGAGAAGUUUAAGAAAAGAAGGGGGAAAUACAAAGGAGGUAGAAAAGGCCCAUCAAGCAAAAUCGAAGAAACAUGCUUUUAAAAGCCCAAGAAGAAUCAAACCAUAACACCAAAGGCAUAAGUUCCUAUGAAGCCCAUGCUAGUUUUUUUCUAUAAGACAGGGGGAAGCCCAAAGGCCGAAGACCCAACCGAAGAAGAACUGAUAAACAAGCAAGGCAUCUAUUAUAGGGGCACGUGUGGGAAGGACGUUGAAUUUGAAGUGGAAGGUUGACCUUUUUAAUUCCGUAAAAUGUAGAAGGUAGCAAGGCCCAAAGGCCAGGUAUAUGAACUAUAAAAAGACUAAAGGUAUCAUCCCAUCCAAUACAAAGCAUGCAUGCAGACCUAAAUAAGAAACCAAGAAAAGAUAGCUAAAGAGACCGAAGAGAGGAAAACACAUGCGAGUGUAGUAGGCCCCAAUCAUUUAUCUCUGUGUUCGUAGAGGGAUAGCCCAAGCGAAAUAGCUCCCUCUCCAAGUGUCCAACGUGUCGAGUGGCAGAGACUGCAACUAUUAUGGAAGAACAAAGUGAGCUCCUAUAGGACAAAAUACAGUCAUAAUUAUAGCCUAGAACUACAAACACAUACAGACGCUGCAAAAAACUUAUGGCCUCAAGGGAAGCCUAUUCAUAGGCAUGGACAAAACUAUUAGAUUGAUCUCUGACCGCGUGGGCCCAACGGCCCACCGGGCCUUGAUCUAUGCGCCCUGAUCGGGGGCGCCCAACCCAUUAUGGUUGGUGGGCCCCUGUGACCCGCGCUAUAUAAAGGAAGGUGGGAUGCCGGGGCACGAACUACGAGAUUCGCUGCUGUCACACCCCUACCGACAUACCUAUCCGAUCUAGGUUAAGCGCGGUGCUCACGGAAAGCUCCACCCACGCCUAACCCUCUUUCUCCGUCAUCGCCGUCGCUACCGCACCGAUGGAGACCGUGGGAGCUCAUCCAGCUCAGGACAAGGUAAACCUACGGGCACUACUGUUGGCAAUAAGCCACGGUGAGCGCAGCCUGCAUGCUUGCGGGCGUGAGCUGGCCGCGUCGGGUCCGUGGCAGGUGUCCCUGUGUGUGUGUCUGGGCAUAGGCUGGUUAGUGUACGACUUGCCGGAUGGUCUGGCCAUAGUCCGUGUAUAGUCCGGCUAAUUUACAGGCUGUGUGCGUGCGUGAGUGCGUGUGUCUGUUAGCUAGAUAGCCAAGGAUGUGACCGCGUCGCCCGCACUGGAAACGGCCGCGUUGUUCGCGUUGGAGCGCGACGGGUGCGCUGGCUGGGAGUGCGAGACGUGGAGAGCGAGUCUCGUGGUGGAGUUCGUGGCUCCAUGCACGAGGGCGGACAACUCGGCAGGAGAACGCGUACGUGCGCGUAGAGCUCGCUGGAGUUGGUUUCGUAGGUGUUGCGUCUCUGUGAGGCUAUAAGUGAUGAUGUACUGCUCUUGUGUGUGAUGUGGGUUGAGUUCGAGCUCAAAGAAAAACGUUGUUGUUGCGGCAGGCGUUCGUGCGCCAAGGAAAACCACCGUGUCCUGUUCCUUCUUCUUCCCUCCUUCCUCCUCGGUACGAGCCAGAGAGAGAGAAGUGUGCAGAGAGACAGAGAGAGGUAGAGCUAGGACAAGGGCUCGGUUCCAACAACUACCGUGACUCAUCUACCCUAGUCGAUCCGCAGGAUCUAUCAAUGGUAUCUUGAGCCACUAGGGUAAGAUGUGUUUCGGUCAAAGAAACCAAAGAGAAAAAAAUUCCCUCCCCAGAAGCACCGAAGAUGGCCUCGGGCCUCAUCGGAAAAGAAGCGCCGCCGCAAGGCCGCGCCUGUUCCUCUCGAUCCCCACACGCAUCGGCAAGCCGAGGUGUGGGGAAGAAGAACCUACCUCCUCGGAGGCUAAAGAACGGAUCAAGAUCCAACAAGAAAACAAAGAAAGUAAACGGAUCCGAUCCGGAAAAGGCAAAAAAGGGGAGAGGAACAUGCAAAGACACGGCAUAGGCCGAAGGAAAAAGAAAAGGGCGCCGCAAACACGUCGUUCGACGGCGGUGCGCUUCCGCCAAGGGAAACGCACCACCGGCGAAGGGGUGGUCACGGCGCCAUAGGCCUAAGGCCGCGGGACAAAGCAACAUGGCCAUGGAGCACCCUCUUGGCAGGGACAAAGGCACCCCUAACACACCACUUGACGGCGGCGCGCUCUCCCUCGGGAGAGGGCGCGCACCGGCAAGGGGAGUGAAGGGGGCCACCGCUGAAAUGAAAAGACAAUCGGCCGUGUGGGAGCUUAGCCCCACGCCGGCGGCCAGAUCUAGCCACUCCCCGGGGGGCUGCAAGCCGCCGCGCGAGGGAAGGAAGGCGGGGCCCCAGAGAGGCAUCCUCGGCGGGGCAUCGAUGCAGCCGCGCGUGGGAAGCCCUCGGCCGCCCCAAGAAUCUUUUCGGCCUGCACCGGCCGCAAGGAAGAGGCCGAAGGCCAGAGGCGAGCGACGUGAGCUCCCCCCCCCCUCCAAAGCAACUCGCGGGAGGGAGGACCUUCGCCGCGCUCGACAGGAGGGUGUUAGACCUCACCGCCGGCGGCCGGCUCCUUUCCUGGCCACGGGCUGCUCGGGAGAGAAGGGGCGGGCGCCAGAGAAACGAGAAGCGAGCGGCUGAGGGGGCAAAUGGAGUUAGGGUUUCGGCAGGGGAUGGGCUCUAGCCCUUUUUGUUUCGCCGAAAGCUAUGCCUGACCGUAGGAUCUCAUCCGNNNNNNNNNNNGGGUUUUUUAGUUUCUGUCUAUUAAGGCAGAUUCAAAGUUUUUUUUUCUAGGAAUUUUUUCCUACGAAAACAUGAUUAGAAAAAGAAAAAGGAAAUGUUGAAAGUUUCUGACAAUUUACACAGAAUUGUAAUAUUAUUUUUCUGAAAAGAAAAAUAAAAGGGUUUCUGAAAAUAAAAUAGUUUUUCAGAAAAAGAACGUUCAUGAUCUUUAUAAAAGCAUUAAUAAAGAUCACGAGUUUUAUAUAAAAUAACAGAAUUAUUUUCUGUAAAAUUAAAAGGCAUAUGAAAUUUUAAACUCACGUUUUCCGCUGCUAAGUAAAAUAUGAAAUGUGGUCAUGCUAUUAUUCUCACCAACGUUGUUUAGUAACAUGAUCAUGUUGCAUAUUGCAAAAGAUGCAUUUAUUUCUAUCAGUUGCCCAACGGUAAUGUACAUUAAUUUGCAUAGGCAAUUGUAUGAUUACUUUAACCAACGUUAUUUAAUUCAUAUAAUUGUCGUACUGACUUUGCUUAUAUGGUGAUUUCAGGAGGUUUUCAUCUGAUGAGUUGCCUCAAGGACGUUCCUACACUCAUAGGGGAUAAUUACUCUGAGUGGAGGAAGAAGGUUGACAUGGCUUUGUGCAUUGCUGAGGUGGACUGGGUUCUGGAGGAACCACAGCCAGCUGCUCCCUCAGAACCAGACAGAGAUGCUGACGAGGAUGAUGAGAGUUGGGAGAAAAAGCAAUGGGAUUGUGGCAAAGAGGAGAUGUCCUACUUCAUACGUAACAGGUUAUGGAUAAAUGCCAACAACAAAUGUUUGGCAUUUAUUAAGAACACCAUUGAGACCACCAUUGUGGGCUCAAUAGCAGAGUGCCCUACUGCAAAGGAGAUGUUCAACAAGAUAAAGAGUCAGUUUACUGGCUCUUCUAAGACCUAUGUCAUCCAGUUGAUCAAACAACUGGUGACAGAGAGCUACAAUGGAGGUGGCCAUGGCAUAAGGGAGCACAUCCUUAGGAUGAGCAACACGGCAGCCAAGCUUAAGCCCAUGAUGUGAAUCUGGAGAUCAAACCAGCUCUCCUUGUCCACCUGGUCAUGGCUUCGCUGCCUAAAGAAUUUGAGACCUUUGUAGUAAACUACAACAUGCAACCUGAGACAUGGGAUAUAGAAAAGGUCAUCGCAAUGUGCUCACAAGAAGAGGAGAGGAUCAAGGCUUCACAUGGUGGCUCCCUUAACUAUGUAAAGAAAAAGAAAAAGGUUUUCCCACCUAACAAAGGUUCUCCCUCAAAGCCACAGGGCAAAGUUCAAGGCAAGACUCCCGCUCAUUAUCAGCCAAAGCCAAUAACAGUAGACAAGGACACUUGUAUGUACUGCAAGGAAAAAGGGCACUACAAGAAGGAUUGUGCUGCUUGGCUAAAGAUCUUCAUGGUAAAGAGAGGUAAAUAUAUUGUUUCCCUAGUAAAUGAAUCUCUGUAUGUAAAGUUUUGAAAAUCUACUUGGUGGAUUGACGCAGGUGCAACAUUUCAUGUUGCAAACUCUUUACAGGGGUUCAGUUCGAUGAGGACCAUGUGCCAAAAAGAAAGAAGUAUUGAAGUCGCAAAUGGUGUCCAAGCAGAAGUUGAAGCUGUAGAUGACGUCUCCUUGGAGCUAACCGAAGGAUUCAAGCUUUUGCUUAGAGAUGUACUUUUUGUGCCUUCAUGUAAUAGGAACUUAAUAAGUGUUUCAUGCUUAGACAAAGACAAUUAUCAAUGUGUUUUUGGACAUGGUAAAUGUACCGUUUGGUACAAUAAUGAUUAUGUAGGCAAUGGCUUUCUUCAUGAUGUGCUUUAUUUGUUAUCAAUUCAUGACAAAGUGAAUUAUGCAAAUAAUGUGAAUGUUCAAAGUUCUUCGUCGAACAAUGAACAAAAGAAAAGAAAGAGAACUCACGACCUCUCGAAACUAUGGCACUGUCGAUUGGGCCAUAUUUCCAGGGGGAGAAUAGAAAGAUUAAUCAAAAGCGAAAUUCUUCCAAAAUUGGAGUUCUCUGACUUAGAACAAUGCGUAGAUAGCAUUAAAGGAAAAAAUGUAAAACAGAUAAAGAAAGGUGCAAACCGAAGCACAGGAACACUGGAAAUUAUCCACACUGAUAUUUGUGGACCGUUUCCGGUGAAAAGUGUGGAUGGUUAUGAUUCAUUCAUAACAUUCACAGACGAUUACUCCCGCUUAGGUUACAUUUAUCCAAUCAAAGAAAUAAAUGAGGCAUUGGAUAAAUCCAAGAUAUUCAAAGUUGAAGUUGAAAAUCAGCUUGACAAAAAGAUUAAGAUUGUGAGGUCAGACCGUGGGGGGAGUACUAUGGUCGACACACACCAUAUGGCCAAGUCCCUGGACCUUUUGCAAAGUUCUUGAAGGAGACUGGCAUUGUCGCCCAGUAUUCAAUGCCGGGCGAGCCUCAGCAAAAUGGAGUAGCUGAAAGGCGCAACCGUACCCUCAUGGAUAUGGUGUGCAGCAUGAUGAGCUACUCCGACAUGCCAUUGGGAUUGUGGAUGGAGGCGCUUAAAACCGCCAUUCACAUUCUCAACGGAGUACCAAGCAAGUCGGUGCCCAAAACAGCGCACGAGCUAUGGACAGGAAGAGUGCCAUCCCUGCAACACUUCAGGGUGUGGGGAUGUCCAGCUGAGGCCAAAAUGUUUAAUCCAAACAUUGGAAAGUUAGAUCCAAAGACAGUGAGUUGCCAUUUCAUUGGCUACCCUGAUAGAUCAAAAGGUUUUCGUUUCUACUGUCCUGACAGAUACACAAAGUUUGUGGAAACGAGACAUGUUGUCUUCUUAGAGGACGAAAUGAUGAGGGGGAGCAUGGUAGCUCGAAAAAUUGAUCUUGAGGAGAAAAGGGUGCAUGCACCCAUUCCAAUGAUUCAAGAGCCAUUUUUCUCGCUACCCGUUGUAACUCCAACGAUGACAACUAUGGGAGAAGACCCGGAACCUGUCCUUCAGGAGCCGACUGAACCCGUUGUUGAUCAUGAAAGGGAAGUGCAGCAAGAAAUAGUAGAAAGUGUGCCAGAUAAUGAGGCACUUAGAAGGUCUAACAGAACAAGAAGACCUGCUAUUUCUACUGAUUAUAAAGUCUAUAACACAGAAAUGGUUCAUAUGGAAGGUGAUCCCACCACAUACGAAGAAGCCAUUAAAGCCCUCACUCAUCAAAAUGGCUAGAGGCAAUGGAAGAUGAGAUGAAACCGAUGAGUUCCAAUAAUGUUUGGGACUUAGAGAUAAUUCCUAAAGGAGCAAAGACAGUAGGCUGCAAAUGGGUCUACAAAACAAAGUAUGACUCUAAUGGGAAUGUAGAUAAGUAUAAAGCCCGACUUGUGGCAAAAGGAUUCACGCAAAGAGAAGUGAUAGACUACAAUGAGACUUUUUCUCCAGUCUCUUGUAAGGAUUCCUUCCGAAUCAUAAUGGCACCAGUUGCUCAUUUUGAUUUAGAGCUGCAUCAAAUGGAUGUAAGGACCGCAUUUCUAAACGGAGAUUUAGAAGAAGAUGUCUACAUGAAACAACCCAAGGGUUUUAUCAUGGAAGGCAAGGAAAAUAUGGGAUGCCGCCUAAGGGAAUCCAUUUAUGGGCUAAGGCAAGCCUCUAGACAGUGGUACAUAAAGUUUAAUGAUACUAUUAAAAGGUUUGGAUUUCAAGAAAAUGUCGAGGAUAACUGCAUUUAUGCAAAGUUUAAACAUGGGAAAUAUAUUUUCCUAAUCUUGUAUGUGGAUGAUAUCUUGCUUGCAAGCAAUGGUAUUAGUCUACUACAAGAGACAAAGAAGUUUUUAUCCUCGAACUUCGACAUGAAAGACCUUGGUGAUGCAUCAUAUGUUUUGGGCAUUGAAAUUCACCGAGACAGGAAAAAUGGAGUCUUAGGACUCUCACAGAAAGCAUAUUUAGAGAAAGUUCUCCAAAAGUAUAAUAUGCAUAAGUGUAAAGCCACACCUGCUCCAAUAGUCAAGGGCGAUAGUUUUGGGAAUCACCAAUGUCCCAAGAAUAAGUACGAGCUCGAUGAAAUGAAAACAAUACUGUAUACUUCGGCUGUUGGAAGUUUACAGUAUGCACAAGUGUGCACAUGCCCUGACUUGGCGUUUAUCACCGGGGUACUCGGUAGAUAUCAAGCAAAUCCAGGCCAAGAGCACUGGAAGAUGGCAAAGAAAGCUUUGCGUUAUGUGCAAGGCACAAAAGAAAUCAUGCUAACAUACAGGAGAUCUGAGUCCCUAGAGAUAAAAGGGUACUCAGACGCAGAUUUUGCGGGAGAUAGAGAUGAUAGAAAAUCCACGUCUGGGUACGUGUUCACUCUCGCAGGGGGAGCUAUUUCAUGGAAAAGCUCCAAAUUACAGACCAUAGUUGCAUCGUCCACGAUGCAAGCAGAGUUCAUAGCAUGCUUUGAAGCCACCGGGCAGGUGAUAUGGUUAAAGAAGUUUAUACCCGACUUGAAAGUGGUAGAUUGUAUUCACAAGCCACUAAAGAUAUACUAUGACAACCAGCCCGCAGUAUUCUAUGCUCACAACAACAAGUCUAGUAAUGCUUCCAAGACAAUAGAUAUAAAGUAUUACGUUGUGAAAGAUAAAAUCCAGGAUCAAACUAUAAGUCUCGAGCAUAUAAGUACGAAGUAUAUGCUUGCGGAUCCGCUAACGAAAGGCUUACCACCCAGUGUGUUCAAGGAACACUUAGCCGGCAUGGGUUUGAUGGAAAGCCUAUGAUUCCUGGAUCAUAAGAGGCCCAAAAGUAAAUGAAUUUGUUUCAAAACAAAAGUGUGUUGUAGCUGUAUGAUUCUAUCGCCAAUUAAGCUGUGACGAUGAGACAUGCUCUACAUGCCUAUAUGUGAUGGACCAAAUAAAAGGUAUAAAGUCAAAAGUAAAAGUCGAGAUCAAGGGGGAGAAUGUUAGAUUCAUCUCUCACUGCGUGGGCCCAACGGCCCACCGGGCCUUGAUCUAUGCGCCCUGAUCGGGGGCGCCCAACCCAUUAUGGUUGGUGGGCCCCUGUGACCUGCGCUAUAUAAAGGAAGGUGGGGUGCCAGAGCACGAACUACGAGAUUCGCUGCUGUCACACCCCUACCGACAUACCUAUCCGAUCUAGGUUAAGCGCGGUGCUCACGGGAAGCUCCACCCACGCCUAAGCCUCUUUCUCCGUCACCGCCGUUGCUACCGCACCGAUGGAGACCGGUGGGAGCUCAUCCAGCUCAGGACAAGGUAAACCUACGGGCACUACCGUGACUCAUCUACCCUAGUCGAUCCGCAGGAUCUAUCAAAAACCACACGAGGCCGAGUUCCAAAAAAAUCUCUUCGUGGAACUGGACUAGAACCAUCCCCUAGAAGCUACAGUUCUACCCCGGCACAACGGACCCAUCCUCAGCGAUCUCAAAAAGAUACGAAAGCAUCGGAAAAGCACAUUGAGCCUCCACGGCUUCCAAUAUGGGUAUAACAACUGAAAUAAGAGCACACAUUCUGCUCACACGCAACAGAAGUCAAACAAGACUGGAAAAUAACACGACCUCGAGAACGGCGAGACCAUCAGUACAUCAACAACCAUGACAACAUGCAAAAAGAUAAAUACAUCUGAAGCCACAAACAAUGUACAUGGAGUGGAAAAUGAGAGCAAACCUUGAGCAGCAGCAGCAGGUUGAAGAUCUAGAAACAGAGCACUACUUCCAACCUAUAAAAAAACACAAACAUAAUCAUCAGAACAUAGCAGGAAAAACAAAGCAGGUCCAGAGCACACCUAUUCCAUCAAUGGCACUAAACAAAUGCCGACCAACAUAACGGCAUCAUAACAAUUCUUUUAACCAAAGGAAAUAACACUACUCACUAUACUAAAACACCAUCUACUUAGACAUGCAGCAACAGAAGAAAAAACUCAUCAAUCAACCUCACACGGUGCGCUUUCACGCAAAGCAACAAACAAAAGCAACAUAAACCCUCUACAUAGAUCCAAGGCAGUCUAGAAGAGAAAGUGGAGCACAAGACAUGGUAGAUAUAGACAACUAAACAUUGGAGAAAAGCAACACGCUAUAUUAGCAAGGAAAAGAAAGCCCGGACAUGAACUGCAGAGGCAGCAAGCAAGUAAAAUGGACAAAUCAUCUAUCUUCUCAAACCUAAUCUUUUGGGCUAUCACUAAGUACCGCAUCUCCCCACCAUCCACAAAUAGAAAGAAAGAGGCUAAGGAGCAGCACAUUACCAAAAUGACGAAGCGGAACUAGAACAGCAGCGAGCAAGCAAACGCGGAGGAACAGUCGACCAACCUGAGAACAACCCAAAACACAAAUUGCACUCAUAUAAUACGCUCACGAACAACAUGAACCAUACACAACUAACAAGAGGCAAAAAUGCUAAAUCAGAACAAACGACAGCAGACAACCAUCCUUUCGAGCAUUUCUCCAAAUACCUUGACGGCAUGUACCACACAAAAGCAGAAGAGUUGAGCACUAACCUGGAAAGCAACAACGGAAUGACCCACGCUCCCAGGAAGGAGCCAACGGAAACAUCUAGCAAACUGUGCAUGAAUGGAGAAAACGCAAACAGACCACUUCAGUGAAGAAGAGAAGGAACGACCGGAAAGAACCGAAAAAGGAGAGGAGGAAGAACCUCAACUAACACCAUCCAUGGUACAACGGGCGGCCAUGGCGACAAGCCACAACACGAGUCAUUCGAACUGGAUGAAGCGGGGUGAAGAGGAAAGGACACAACAGUGUGGAAGGAGGACGACAUCGAGCGAACGAAGCGAGCGUGCAGAGAAUGAGAGACGGAAGAAGAAGGAAAGGGUCAAAUCGAAGACAACAGGACCCCCAUCCACCGCGACAGCACGGACAACUCUCACACACUGGCAUCGGAACCCACCACAUAUGCAUCGACACACGUCCUAUCUGGGGCCAGGGGCCACUGUCAGCCCAACAUGAGAGACAACGACAAACACACGCAGGGCACCCACCAG